ACUGGGUUGGCCGAGUGGUUAAGGCGUACUUGGACUUAAGUUCCAAUGGACAAGUGUCCGCGUGGGUUCGACCCCACACCCAGUA
rnacentral:tRNA from 1 species